AUUGAACGCUGGCGGCAGGCCUAACACAUGCAAGUCGAACGAGUGGAGGACUGGUGAGUAAUGUCUGGGAAACUGCCUGAAGGAGGGGGAUAACUACUGGAAACGGUAGCUAAUACCGCAUACCCUCAGAUGUGCCCAGAUGGGAUUAGCUUGUUGGUGGGGUAACGGCUAACCAAGGCGACGAUCCCUAGCUGGUCUGCGAGGAUGACCAGCCACACUGGAACUGAGACACGGUCCAGAUGCCGACGGGAGGCAGCAGUGGGGAAUAUGGCACAAUGGGCGCAAGCCUGAUGCAGCCAUGCCGCGUGUAUGAAGAAGGCCUUCGGGUUGUAAAGUACUUUCAGCGGGGAUGCGUUACCCGCAGAAGAAGCACCGGCUAACUCCGUGCCAGCCGCCGCGGUAAUUC
rnacentral:rRNA from 1 species